rnacentral:tRNA from 1 species
GCCAGUGUGGUGUAGUGGCUUGAACGUUGGGCUAUGACUCUGGAGACUAGGGUUCGAUUCCCCGCUUGGAG